ACUAGAAGAUCAAGAAGGCUGUCUGAUGAAGCAGGACUUUGCUGCUAGACUCCUAGAAAAAGAGGUGGAGAGAACAAACCACAGGUUUGUUUGACUCUACUACCCAACAUUU